rnacentral:lncRNA from 10 species
AUGGAAUUACAAGGUCUUGGAGUUGUUGGAGAAGUGAGGGACAUUGGAAAAGCUGCACAGAUAGGCCUGGAACAUCUGUUAAGCCCCCAUUUUUUCCUAGGCCAUUUUGCUUUCCAUAGCUCACAAAGCCCUAUUUCAAUAUCCAAGGCUGGAUCACCUGUAUAGCACUCCUGAUGGCUGGUCAUUCUUCCUUAACUUAAUUGCCCUCAGAGGUGGGGCACUCACUGCCUCACUUGGGUCAGGGGAGCCAAGACAAUGCUCUCCUGCUUAAAUAUCACCACGUGCAGAAACGAUGCCUGCAUUUUGAUGAAGAGCAUACAGAAAAGUGUGUGUCUUUUCCACUUACCUUUUCUAAAUGCCAGGUUCCUAUUAGAGGACCUUGCCGUGCCUCUGAGGUCUUCCCUCAAGCCUGCACUUCCUGAUGGAACCCUGUCCCUCACAUGA